AGGGCAGUAUAUAGAUAGUACCCCGGCAGGUGGGGUAAUAAGGCUGAUACAGGGCAGUAUAUAGACAGUACCAGGGCAGGUGGGGUAAUAAGGCUGACACAGGGCAGUAUAUAGAUAGUACCAGGGCAGGUGGGGUAAUAAGGCUGACACAGGGCAGUAUAUAGAUAGUACCAGGGCAGGUGGGGUAAUAAGGCUGACACAGGGCAGUAUAUAGAUAGUACCAGGGCAGGUGGGGUAAUAAGGCUGAUAAGGGGCAGUAUAUAGAUAGUACCCCGGCAGGUGGGGUAAUAAGGCUGAUACAGGGCAGUAUAUAGACAGUACCAGGGCAGGUGGGGUAAUAAGGCUGACACAGGGCAGUAUAUAGAUAGUACCAGGGCAGGUGGGGUAAUAAGGCUGACACAGGGCAGUAUAUAGAUAGUACCAGGGCAGGUGGGAGUAAUAAGGCUGACACAGGGUAGUAUAUAGAUAGUAUCAGGGCAGGUGGGGUAUUAAGGCUAGUUCAGGUGAUUAUAGCCCCAGAAGAAGGAUUACCGGUCUCUCUGCCCGCCCUAAGAUGAGCCUCCCUGGGUUCCUGCUGUUGCUGGCGGCCGCCCUGGUCUCCUCGGCCGAGGUUCUGUUCCGCUGCCCCCCUUGCACUCCAGAGCGUGUGGCUGCCUGUCCUGCCCUGCCCCCGCGGAGCCCCUGCGCGGAGCUGGUACGGGCCCCCGGCUGCGGCUGCUGUCCUGUGUGCGCCCGGGUGGAGGGAGAGUCCUGCGGGGUGUACACCGCCCGCUGUGCCACCGGGCUCCGCUGCUACCCCAACCCCGGCUCCGAUCUCCCCCUACAGGCUCUGGUGAAUGGCCAGGGGGGGUGCGGCAAAAGGAGGGACGCUGAGUAUGGGAGCAGCCAGGAACGGGGCACAGGUAAGGCACAGUGCUGGGUACUGAAUGGGC